CUUCUGUCUGCUGGACUGGAGAGUCCAAACUGUAGACUGCAGACUCUGAGAUUGUGGAACUGCAGUUUGUCAGAGAUCAGCUGUGCUUCUCUGGCCUCAGCUCUGAAGUCCAACCCCUCCCAUCUGACAGAAGCUGGACCUGGGAGGAAACGACCUGCAGGAUUCCGCAGUGAAGCCUCUGUCUGAUCUUGUGGAGAGUCCACACUGCAGACUGACGACUCUGAGGUGGAAGCGGUGAGAAAGGUGUUUGUGUGAUGAGAGGGAUCAGCUGAGUCCUGAUGAUCC